GCUGCCUGAGCUCCCCAGGGGUGGCAGGGUGUGGAGGGGGAUGUGUGCACAGCGUGCACGUGGCUCCCAGUCGCAUUCCGCCGAACAGCUCUGGGGAAUGUCCUCUGACCACCCUGAGAAGGAAGCAGGCCUCCCUGAGCUCCAGGGCAGGCUCUGCACUCGCCCUGCCUGGCAGGCAAGCCUGAAACAGGACGUCUUCCCGCAGCAGGAAUGAAGUGGUCCAUCCUCAGGAACUGAGAUUUUCAGGAGCGGGGCUGGAGCCGACCUAAUAGACUCAGCUCAACCAUGGACCCUGGAUGCUGGGAGGUGCUGAGCAUGGCACUGCUGGGGAAACACGUAUAGGUGCAGGUGCCAGACCAGGGCCUCAUGUGUCCAAUGCUGACGGCACCUCCACAGGAGGAUCCACACGAUGCCUGGAGCACCAUGGACAGGCCUGAACGAUGCUCACACCCUGCAGCUCAAACUGAGUGCCGUGCAGGACGGACCUCACCAGAGGACUCCUCACACUACAUCCUCAACCCCAGUGUAAGCGAGAAAUAAAUAUGACAUGAAAUAAA